rnacentral:misc_RNA from 1 species
GAUGAAGAACGUAGCGAAAUGCGAUAAGUAGUGUGAAUUGCAGAAUUCAGUGAAUCAUCGAAUCUUUGAACGCACAUUGCGCCCCUUGGUAUUCCCUGGGGCAUGCCUGUUCGAGCGUCAUUUGUACCUUCAAGCUUUGCUUGGUGUUGGGUGUUUGUCUCGCCUUUGCGUGUAGACUCGCCUUAAAAUAAUUGGCAGCCGGCGUAUUGAUUUCGGAGCGCAGUACAUCUCGCGCUUUGCACUCAUAACGACAGCGUCCAAAAGUACAUUUUACACUCUUGACCUCGGAUCAGGUAGGGAUACCCGCUGAACUUAAGCAUAUCAAUAAGCGGAGGA